UUGUCUUUUCAUGUAAUGAGUUCUUUCUGUAUGGUAUAUAUAGACCUACUUCAUUAUAGUUAAUGUCUAUCUACACAUUGUUCUGUUGAUUUACAGAUUCCUCCACAGUAGAAUUUACUAACACAUCCCUCAUGGAUGCACGUCUUGGUUCCUGAUCCUGCCUAUCCCAGCACUGCAGUUACUGCCAGUCUCACUGUCACUCACCAGAGUCGGGUGCCUGCCUUUAUAUAUCCUGCAAUGGAGCCAGUAGCCUCCUGAGGCCUGCUUGGGAUGUCCCUUCUGCCCCCAUCCUCCUCACGCCACUUGUUCUUUCAGGAACAUUUCAUGCUACUGACCUCUUCCUCCUUUGACUUUUUCAUGCUCCCUCUCUCCAGUUGUUCUGCUCAACGCCCUGUGGCACGCCUUGCCUUCUUUUAAAGGUGUGCUCAGGGAUUCUCCUCAUUUUUCAUUGCUCAUGCCUGUCUGGGCUUUCCCUGGAAGAUCCCCUGCCACCCAUCCCCUGCUGCCUCCAGGAUUGUCUCCCAGCCCGGGCCUCUGGCAUAGAAGCCAUCUGCCUCCCGAAUGCGUUGCCUGGAGGAAAUGCAGGCGCCUCACUCCGCUCUCGCUCUGGAUGCCAUCCCAUCCCCCUCUGUGCUUGCUGCCUUGGUCGUUGGUGCCAUCAUAGCCGUCCCCCCUCCCACAUUCGAGUGAUGCAUUUAGCUGCGUUCAUUCCACCUCUGAGCCUCUCACACUCACCCCCCUCCUCUAAUCUCUACAGUGCUCUACUCAACGUUUGCUAGUGGUGGCCCCCUCCACCUUGUGUGUGUAGUAUGUCCAAGCCAUCUCUUGGCAGCCAGGACCAUCGGCACACUAGCAAGUUCACGGACUCAGCCCCCUCUUCUGCCCCCAACAUCACUUACCAUGACAAAUGCUGCACCUGGAUCCUUGUGGAAGUCAUCGCCCUGGAGAAAGGAAAGACCAUCUGGCUCAGCCCCAGAGGGGAGAGAGACCUCAGCUGGAAAGAUGCGACCACGUCUGUCCCUGGGGAAGAGGUUAAAGGCCAGAGGGGAUAGAUGAAGAACUCUUCUUUUUCUGGUUAUGAAUAUGUUCUGCCCAAACUGUUCAUGAUGUUAGACAUGUCCACUUCCAUCCAACAUAAGUGUGGGGGCCCUAUUGGCACCUCCCUCCCGGAUGUGAUGGAAUGCUUCGGAAACCAUUAAUCCUGGUGUCAGCAGGAGCCUAUGGAGGAACUUGUAGUUAAUAUUCCCCCACGAGCGAGGGGACGAACUGAGGAGAGGCAGAUCUGCAUGGCUGAUGGCUCACUUCCCCCUCCCUUUCAGCAGCAGAGCCAUGGGCUGGCUCAGCAGGUCUGAGUUAGAUCAUUGGCAGAACCGGCUGGUGCCAGCCUUUAAUUUUUAGGGCUGCCUCUUCUAUCCUGGUCAAGAACUUCACUUGUUACAUAAUCAUGUGUCUGUAGCUGCUCCGUGGCCUCAUAAAAUGUGGAGCUUAACGGGGACAUUUUCUUUUUGCCUGGAGCUUUGGCUGUGGGGCCUGCAGUCCAGCCACAGCUGGCCUGAGCUGGGGACAAUGACAGUUCACAGGAUUUCAUGUGCUCUCCCACGUCUCUGCUCAUAAGUUUUCUCCAAAAACUCAACUUUAAAAAAGAAAAAAUGAGGAUGACUCAUAUAACGAUAUGAUUUGUACAAAACUGGUUUGUAAAUACAACAUAAUCCCAAAUAAUUUUUUUAUUAAUUUUUUAAAUUUACCAUCCUUACCAUUUUUAAGUGUACAGUUGAGUGGUGAUGAAUACGUUCAUAUUCUUUCUCUCCCUUCAUCCUUUCUUCCUCCUCCCUUUCCCAACCUCUAGUAACCACCAAUCUACUCUGUCUUACGGCACAGAAUGUGCAUCCCUUGCAUGGCAAUGCUAAUAUUGUUGCCACCACCCUCUCAUACCAGUGCGACAUUAAUUCCUGCCCUUUAGUGACUCUGAGUUCCAGUCUUGAAUGGACACAGAAUUUGUCACAGCAACAGCUAACAAGUAGUGUUACUACAUGCUGGGCACCAUGCUAAGAGUUUUAUACGUAUUAACUCACUUAUGCAGAUCGGUGCAAUUAUCUUUUUUUUCUAUGCAGUUCACUUUUUUCCCCCCCCCAGAAAAGAAACCAAGGCACAGAGAGGUUAGUACUUUUUUCAAGGUCACACAGCUGUAAAUGGCGAGACCAGGAUUCAAACCUAGGCAGUCUUCCUUUAGAGCCAUUAAACUCUGUGCUGAUGAUGAGCAGGUGGGUAGAGAAAAGGUUCAGGAGUAAAAAUAAAGUGGUUUCUUGCAUUUCUUCCAAGAUGUUAGCAGGUCAGCUGUUGAGUACUAAACUGUCAGUGGUGCUAUGAGUGUCUGGGUGUUUUGGUUUGUUUGUUUGCUUUCUCUGUGUUCCUAGGUGUGCAAGUGGGAAGAGGGGGUGGGACAGAUCCUGCAGAGAGACCUGCCGUGCUCCCCAGUGGAAACCGCAGCUUCCACUUCCUACACUCCCUUGCAUCUUUGUCUCUAGUCCGUGGCCUGGCUUUCCCCAAGAAGACCUGUCUCAUGAAAUGUGGAAGGAGAGGGUGAACAACAUUAAGUGCAACUGUUUCCACUGCUUCUGUGUGAUUGAGGAAGUGUUGGGUUUUCCCAUGACAACCGCAGCAGAGGUCCCAGCACUGGGGAGGUGAGGGAGUUAAAACAGACUGUCUGGUGGCCCUGGUCCCAGCAGGCGAGACAACAGCCUCCUCACCUGGCUUUUCAAUCAGGACCAAGGCAGCAGCUUGUCAUUUGGGAGUCAUUCCUGGCAGCUUAGCUCUGAGCUUGCUCUACAGCCAUUCCAUCAGCUUUGCAAGGACGUAAGUCACUGUAUGAAGUCCCUUUCUGUGUAAACUAGAUAGAGUGUUUCAUGCUAUUUGCAAUUGAACCUGGUGAUACAGUAUGUUUUUGUUAUUCAGGGUGUUUAAUGAGAG
rnacentral:lncRNA from 1 species